GGCCGGCCUCGGCUUCUCCCCCCUCUCCGAAGGCUGUCGGCAACGAUUCGGCCCCUCCCGCUUCCAGCGCGGAGCGCGAGCGGGACGGGACAGGAAGGCGCAGCAGCGAGGCGGCGGAGUCGCUCUUUCGGUGAGCUAAUUGGAACGUGCUGAGCCGUGCCUGGGGACAGAUGAAGAACUAGGGGGUGCGCUGCCGCGCGAGGCUCAAGAGGCGGUCGACGUGGGUAACGUCACCGGGGGCUCCGGGGACAGGCGGGGCCGAGGAAGCCAACGAGAUCUUACGCACGCGGCUGAAACGCGUUGUCAUUGCAGGAGGCUUCCGUGACGCGUCGAAGAUCAAGUUUCAGAUGCGGGUGGCAGAGAAGCCGACGAGGAGAGCUGCCCGAGCUCGUCCUCCCUGCUGACGAAGGGCCAGCUGGAGCUGAGAAGAGCAGGGGAGGCCCGGAGCGCAGCAGGUGCGAAGCAAGGAGCGGGAUCGGCGCACGGGUCUCGGACGGAGCAGAAUUCCUCCUCUUGAAGGCCUUAAUUGGCGGCGUCCCUCAGGCGAGAGCAGCGGGAGAGGUCCGGCGAACGGUUCUUGGCGCUCGAGCCUCCCUUCCUCCUGUUCAGAAGGGGCGUCUCCCUCAAAGAAAGAUGCCCGUCACUGCUGUCUGCACAAAGGGCAAGGCGGCCAAUCGACCUCACCUCCUUCCCCGGACAGGUGAGGGAACAGGUUGUUGGAGAAGCCAUUUCUGAGUCUCUGGAAGAGAAGAAAUGUUGCUGGAACAAUCCGAAGGUGGAUUCUGUGAGGGUAAAGGAGGCUGGAUCAGCCAGGUUUAGGGUCAGCGUGGGGAUCCUGACAGUGAGACUGCGGUGCUUCUGUGGAGUGAGGUUUCUGUGCAGCUGGUGCUGAGGAGGUCUGUGUCCUGGGUUGCAAGGUGCAGAAGAAGCAGAGGGGGUCCAAGAGGUAUUUAGAAACGGAAGGAGCCUGCCAGGCAGCUCAAGACUUCAAAGGCCGUGUCUGAAAACACGGUCUGAACGCUUCUCGAACGCGGUCAGCUAGAGGUAGUGACUGGUGCCUCGGGGGAGCCCGUUCUGCUGUCUGACUGCCCUCUGCUGAAGAAAUGUGUCAUUACCUCCUGUGUGACAGUCUGCGUGUGCAGCUCUGUGGGGUUCCCUUAGGUUAUAUCUACGAUGCGGAGAUGGCCCCUUCGAGGAGCUGUGGCUACCCUUAAGCCUCCCUUUGGCCUCGGGGCUUGACAAACUGAGGGACCGUGGUGGCUUCUUGUAAAGCUUGCCCUCUAACCCCCUCAUCCUCUUUGUAUCAACAUGUCGCUGCUAAACUGCUGAACAGUGAAACUCGGUGCAAUGCCUGCUCUUUUCUUGAAUGCCUCAGGUUUUCUCUGGAGUCAGAGUCAGCACCCCAGGAUAGCUCACCCAUCUCCUCUUAGAAAAUCUUUUCUGCAUCUCUGCCCCGAAGCUCCUCUGAUCUAGCUUCAGGCUAUUCCCUUCAUCCCAUUGCUAGCUACCUGAGAAAAGAAGCAGAGCCUCCCCUACCUCCAGCUUUGAGAUAGUUGCAGAGGAGGAGUCUGAGCCCCUCCUUGCGUGCUUUCUGCGAGCUCUGUUUUUUACACUGUGACGCCCAAACCAUGCAGGGUCUUCGCAGUGAGGCUGUACCGCUGCGGAAUGGGAUGGUCCCUUCUGUUAUUUAGUGGGUAGUGCUGGGUCUGAAGCACCCUGGGGUACUGUAGGCCUGUCGGCUGCUGGGGUGUGCUGCUGAUUCCAGUUCAAGCUGCCAUCAACUGCAACCCCCUGAUUCCUUUUGGCAGGGCAGCGCUCUCGCCUCCGUGUCUGCAUUAUGGAACCAGAGUUGGCCUCACAUCAAACCUCGCUCGCUUGGCAAUGGCAUAACCUGCUGCUGCACUGAGAUCAAGCUACAAAGCCUUCCCACCCGCGAGCCGACCACAGCUCUUCCUAACUGAGCAUCAUCAGCAAAUGUACUUAAUAUGCAAUAAAGUCGCAUGUCCCCAUCAUUCAUAGAAAUACCCACAAGAGCUUGCCCCAGAAAUGAAGCCCUGGGGCAUGGCUGGCGCCCAUCUACCAGCCUCUUCCCCUCUCGCUUAUUCUAACAGAUGCUCAGAGCCUCUUCUCUAAGAGCCUGAGUCAUUGUGUUAACGGAAGGAUCCCCUUAAUAAUACAGGCACAUAAAAGUAUUGGUCUUGAAUCAGUGGUAAGUUUACAGCUGAUGAGUAAAGACUUCUUCCCACCCAACUUUCUUCCCACCCAACUCUUGAUUUUAACCACUCCAAGUCGCUCUACUAUUCAUGCUGUCUGGAUAGUAACAUCAGUGUGUAUUCUACUGUUAACACCCUGACCUGCCAAGUGAGAACUCAGUGGUUUGCAGCUACUAAAGACUAAAGCCACCAAAAAACCCUUCCCUUGAUUUGUAAGUUCUCCUGGGCGCACACGUUCAGAAAAGAGCUUCCAACAUACAUACAUACCAAUCUUUAUGUCUUUCUUUCCUUACAAACAGAAAUACAAACUCUCCUUACCCUCUGCUUAACUAAAAACCCAGGCUGUACUAAUGUAUUCCUCCAUCAGUCAAGAGAAAAAGCGAUUCACUGUUUUUCCUAAUAUGUAUGAUAAAUCAGAAAUAAAAGCCCUAAUCCUUAAUUCACAUGGACUUGACAACAAUGAAUGGCAUUUGACCGAAAGCGGACUCAACACUCUGACCUUGGCGCUUAACUUGCUCACUCUGAGCACCUACCC